UGGCAAUACUUUUAAUAUGUACGGAAGUGGAGUUGCAAAUGUACGCUGUCAUAUUAUCAUUUAUUUUAUAUGAAAGAAUAUUUUUAUGACACAUUUACGCAGUGUGAAUCAAAAUUAUUGUUUUUUCAGAAGUACUGUUUUGGUCCUGAAUGGGAAACCUUCUUAGACUUUUAUCGAGGGAUGAUACGCCAAAAUAUGAUGUCUUUGUUGAUUUUGAAAAUGCUCAACCAACACAGUUGGAAGAAGAAACAUAUAAUAUUGUUCAUGAAGUUCUGCAGCAUUCCAAGCGGAUUCUUCUAGAAUUGCAACUGUAUCAAGGAGCAGGACAUGCAAUACGUGAAGCUAUAGCAAAACCUCACAAUGAAGAGCUCCAAGUGAGAGCUUGGGAAGCUGUGAUACCAUUAGUGUUAAAACUCAGAGAAUUCUAUGAAUUUUCCCAAAAGCUGGAUGCCAUUGUACCUCGUAUUUUAUGGGAGUUGAGUUCUGGACCUUUAACCCCCACUGAACACCUGAAGAUGCAGCAAGCACUUGUGAAGCAGUUUGCUGAGAUCUUGGAUUUUGUAUUAACAUUUGAUGAUCUAAAAAUGACCAACCCAGCUAUUCAGAAUGAUUUUAGCUAUUACAGAAGAACUGUAAAUAGGCUACGUUUAGCUAAUCAGGAUCCUUCUGAUGAUGAGCUAGAAGUUCCAAAUGAACUGGCUAAUCGUAUGUCUUUAUUUUAUGCACACGCAACUCCAAUGUUAAAAGUUUUAAGUGAUGCAACUACUAGAUUUGUAGCAGAAAAUAAAGAUUUACCAAUAGAAAAUACAACUGAGACAUUAGGUACUAUGGCCAAAGUAUGUCAGAGGAUGAUUGAAAAUCCGGAAUUUUGUUCUCGAUUCCACAGAGAAGAUACAAUACUCUUUGUAUUAAGAGUAAUGGUGGGAUUGAUAAUUCUCUAUGAUCAUGUGCAUCCAGUGGGUGCUUUUAGUCGAAAUGCUCAUAUAGAUGUAAAAGGUUGUAUCAAAGUAUUGAAAGAUCAGCCAACAAAUGUUGUGGAAGGUCUCUUGAAUGCUUUAAGACGCUGGGCCAAUUAUGGACGAAUCUCUUUCUGAAAAUAUUUCUGAGGAAACGGCGAAUUUCAUGCAGCGAUGUUUUAAUGCUUGUUGUGGACGAUGCUUUAAGAAAAAGAAGAAAACUACGGACCAAGCUGCUGGCUCGGUAAUACCGCUUACGAAGAUACAGAAGAAAGGAAUAAAAAUAUUAUUUAAAUUAAUAUAUUUAUAAUGAUUUCCUUUUAUUACUGGCCAUGUAAAUAAAUUUAAACUAAAUGGAAACUUUUAUGUAUUCUUUUGUUCACCUUAAAAAUAAUUCAGCA
rnacentral:misc_RNA from 1 species